rnacentral:lncRNA from 1 species
CUGUAAAAUAAGGAGGGUAGACUAGAUGAGCUAUGAUUUUUUUUUUUUUGAGACAGAGUCUUGCUCUGUCGCCCAGGCUGGAGUGCAAUGGUGUGAUCUUGGCUCACUGCAACCUCCGCCUCCCAGGCUCAAGCGAUUCUCCUGCCUUAGCCUCCUGAGUAGCUGGGAUUACAGGCAAGCACCACCGCAUCCGGCUAAUUUUGUAUUUUUAGUAGAGACGUGGUUUUACCAUGUUGGCCAGGCUGGUCUUGAACUCCUGACCUCAGGUGAUCCACCCACCUCGGCCUCACAAAGUGCUGGGAUUACAGGCGUGAACCACCGUGCCCGGCCUGAUGAGCUAUGAUGUUGUAAGAUUCUCU